rnacentral:lncRNA from 1 species
CCAAGAAUUACACAUUAUGCAUGAUACAAAUGAGGCCAUUGCCCAUGACCCCCUUUAUAUACAUGGCUUCUUUUGAAUAGAAAGUGAAGAUCAAAUUUGAUCUUAUGACUGAAAAAUAUUCCUUACUCCCAACACUUUUUUUUUUAAGUUUAUCUCUUAUUUGUUUUGUAAGGUAAUAUAUCUCUUAUAUAUUAAAGGAGAAGCAUU